UACGUAGGGUGCAAGCGUUAUCCGGAAUCACUGGGCGUAAAGCGUGCGUAGGUGGCGUAUUAAGUGAGAUGUUAAAUCGUGUGGCUCAACCAUAUCGAUGCAUCUCAUACUGGUGUGCUAGAGGACGGCAGAGGCAAGUGGAAUUGGUAGUGUAGCAGUGAAAUGCGUAGAUAUUACCAGGAACACCAAUGGCGAAGGCAGCUUGCUGGGCCACUCUUGACACUGAGGUACGAAAGCGUGGGGAGCGAACAGG
rnacentral:rRNA from 1 species